ACGCUGGCGGCGUGCUUAACACAUGCAAGUCGAACGAUGAAACCUAGCUUGCUAGGUGGAUUAGUGGCGCACGGGUGAGUAAUAUAUAGGUAAUGUGCCUCUUAGUCUGGGAUAGCCAUUGGAAACGAUGAUUAAUACUGGAUACUCCUUCUAACUCUAAUGUUAGUCGGGAAAGUUUUUCGCUAAGAGAUCAGCCUAUAUCCCAUCAGUUAGUUGGUAAGGUAACGGCUUACCAAGGCAAUGACGGGUAGCGGGUUUGAGAGGAUGAUCCGCCACACUGGUACUGAGACACGGACCAGACUCCUACGGGAGGCAGCAGUGAGGAAUAUUGCACAAUGGGGGAAACCCUGAUGCAGCAACGCCGCGUGGAGGAUGACGCAUUUCGGUGUGUAAACUCCUUUUAUAUGUCAAGAAAAUGACGGUAGCAUAUGAAUAAGCACCGGCUAACUCCGUGCCAGCAGCCGCGGUAAUACGGAGGGUGCAAGCGUUACUCGGAAUCACUGGGCGUAAAGGACGCGUAGGCGGAUUGGAAAGUCAGAUGUGAAAUCCUACAGCUUAACUGUAGAACUGCAUUUGAAACUUCUAAUCUAGAGUAUGGGAGGGGGAGAUGGAAUUAGUGGUGUAGGGGUAAAAUCCGUAGAUAUCACUAGGAAUACCGAAAGCGAAGGCGAUCUCCUGGAACAUUACUGACGCUAAGGCGUGAAAGCGUGGGGAGCAAACAGGAUUAGAUACCCUGGUAGUCCACGCCCUAAACGAUGAACACUAGUCGUCGGGAUGCUUGUCAUCUCGGUGAUGCACUUAACAGAUUAAGUGUUCCGCCUGGGGAGUACGGUCGCA
rnacentral:rRNA from 1 species